GAUGAACGCUAGCGGCAGGCCUACCACAUGCAAGUCGAGGGGUAACUAGAGUGAUAGCAAUAUUACUUUGGCUAGACCGGCGCACGGGUGCGUAACACGUAUGCAACCUACCUUAUACUGGGGAAUAACUUCGAGAAAUCGGCGCUAAUACCCCAUAACAUUGCGAAGAGGCAUCUCUUUGCAAUUAAAGCUCCGGCGGUAUAAGAUGGGCAUGCGUCCAAUUAGCUAGUUGGUGAGGUAACGGCUCACCAAGGCUACGAUUGGUAGGGGUGCUGAGAGGAUGAUCCCCCACACUGGUACUGAGACACGGACCAGACUCCUACGGGAGGCAGCAGUGAGGAAUAUUGCGCAAUGGACGAAAGUCUGACGCAGCCAUGCCGCGUGCAGGAUGACGGCCCUAUGGGUUGUAAACCGCUUUUGUCAGGGAAGAAAUCCUCUAGGUUAAUACCCUUGGGGGGAUGACGGUACCUGAAGAAUAAGCACCGGCUAACUACGUGCCAGCCGCCGCCGUAAUAC
rnacentral:rRNA from 1 species